CCUGGCCUUGAGCACUGCCAGGGAUGGGGCAGCCACAGCUUCCCUGGAGCUGCUCCCCUCUAAGGGAGGAGGUGAGACCCAUUGGUGGAGCAGCUCUGGCCAGGCAGUGUUGGGCUGUUCCUCAUCUCUCCUGAUACCAAAGAAACCUGCUCUAACACCAGCCCCCAGGCAGCAGCUGACUUUUCUCUGUGCUUUUAACCUCACAAGUGUAGGCUCUUGCCCCAGAGUCCAAUGCCCAGCCCUCUGGGGCAGCUGAGCUUCACCAUUUCAGGUGGAGGUGGUGGGAUGGAGCUCCGGCCCUGCCCUGUCUGUGCUGGGUUGGGAGAUGCCUCCAGCCCAUUCACCUCCACCAGCAGCACAUGGGACACUGCCAAUGCUGGACCCUGACCCCUUUGUCUCCGCAGUGUCUGAAGAGAUGGACAGAAGCACUUUGACCCCCACCACCACCAUGAAACCUUCGGACAAGAUGACCAUCAACCACCUGGUGGAGCGGGCCUGCUGCCGGGACUACCAGCGCCUGGGGCUGGGCACCCUCAGCAGCAGCCUCACCCGCUCCAAGAGCGAGCCCUUCCGCAUCUCCACCGUCAACCGCAUGUACGCCAUAUGCCGGAGGUGAGUGCAGGGCAGGGAGGGCAGUGGACUCAGAGCUGGGCUGUGGGCGCUGGGGGGGGCUCAUCCUGCACCCCACCGAGCUCCACAGCACCUCUGCUCUCCCCUGCAGCUACCCCGGGCUGCUCAUCGUGCCGCAGAGCAUCCAGGACAACACGAUCCAGCGCAUCUCCCGCUGCUACCGCCAGAACCGCUUCCCCGUGGUGUGCUGGAGGAACUCCCGCACCAAAGCCGUGCUGCUGCGCUCAGGGGGGCUGCAUGGCAAGGGCGUCGUGGGCCUCUUCAAGUCCCAGAAUGCUCCCACUGCAGGCCCCUCGCAGGCAGACUCCACGAGCCUGGAGCAGGAGAAGUACCUGCAGGCUGUCAUUAACUCCAUGCCGCACUAUGCUGAUGCCAGCGGGCGCAACACGCUCAGUGGCUUCACCUCGGCUCACAUGAGCAGCUCAGAUCACGCCGACAAGAGGCAGCCUAAGCUGGGAUCGCUCAUGAAGCAGGUGAUGGGAGGGAAGGACGAAGGGCCUGGUUCUAUUAGCCGUGGAGGUGAGGAUGUGUGAGGGAACUGCCUCUGGGGCCUCACACAGGCCCCUCCUCGGGGCAAUGGUGUAGAGUAGCUGCUUCCUUCACCCCAGCUCUGAGCUGCAGGGAGGGAGGGAGGGACCCUCUGAGCACCCGGAGCCACCAUCUCCAUCCCCAUCACCGCUGCAGCCGCUGUGCCUGGGGCCCCGGCUGCCCCAUAUCCGGGCAGUGUGGGUCCCCUCGCUGAAUCGCUUUGUCUGUGCUGCCAGGGCUCGGUCACCGAGCUAAGGUCAUCACCCUGUCCACCCCCAAGUGUGCGUCGGCGAAGGGCCGCGACAGCCCUCGAGGUACGGAACCGACAGCCCCUGCACCGGUGCUAACCACAGCACUGACCCCCAUGCACGUCUCACUGGUGCUAACCACAGCACUGACCCCCAUGCA
rnacentral:lncRNA from 14 species